rnacentral:rRNA from 1 species
UACGUAGGGUGCGAGCGUUAAUCGGAAUUACUGGGCGUAAAGCGUACGCAGGCGGUUCGUUGUGUCUGAUGUGAAAGCCCCGGGCUCAACCUGGGAAUGGCAUUGGAAACUGGCGAGCUGGAGUGUGGCAGAGGGGGGUGGAAUUCCGCGUGUAGCAGUGAAAUGCGUAGAGAUGCGGAGGAACACCGAUGGCGAAGGCAGCCCCCUGGGCCAACACUGACGCUCAGGCACGAAAGCGUGGGGAGCAAACAGG